AUUGAACGCUGGCGGAAUGCUUUACACAUGCAAGUCGAACGGUAGAGGGGGCAACCCCUCGAGAGUGGCGAACGGGUGAGUAAUAUAUCGGAACGUGCCCAGUCGUGGGGGAUAACGUAGCGAAAGUUACGCUAAUACCGCAUACGAUCUAAGGAUAAAAGCGGGGGAUCGCAAGACCCCGCGCGAUUGGAGCGGCCGAUAUCAGAUUAGGUAGUUGGUGGGUAAAGGCCCACCAAGCCAACGAUCUGUAGCUGGUCUGAGAGGACGACCAGCCACACUGGAACUGAGACACGGUCCAGACUCCUACGGGAGGCAGCAGUGGGGAAUUUUGGACAAUGGGCGAAAGCCUGAUCCAGCCAUUCCGCGUGCAGGAUGAAGGCCCUCGGGUUGUAAACUGCUUUUGUACAGAACGAAAAGGUUUCUACUAAUACUAGGAGCUCAUGACGGUACUGUAAGAAUAAGCACCGGCUAACUACGUGCCAGCCGCCGCCGUAA
rnacentral:rRNA from 1 species